rnacentral:rRNA from 1 species
GAUGAACGCUGGCGGCGUGCCUAAUACAUGCAAGUCGAGCGAACAGACGAGGAGCUUGCUCCUCUGACGUUAGCGGCGGACGGGUGAGUAACACGUGGAUAACCUACCUAUAAGACUUGGAUAACUUCGUGAAACCGGAGCUAAUACCGGAUAAUAUAUUGAACCGCAUGGUUCAAUAGUGAAAGACGGUUUUGCUGUCACUUAUAGAUGGAUCCGCGCCGCAUUAGCUAGUUGGUAAGGUAACGGCUUACCAAGGCAACGAUGCGUAGCCGACCUGAGAGGGUGAUCGGCCACACUGGAACUGAGACACGGUCCAGACUCCUACGGGAGGCAGCAGUAGGGAAUCUUCCGCAAUGGGCGAAAGCCUGACGGAGCAACGCCGCGUGAGUGAUGAAGGUCUUCGGAUCGUAAAACUCUGUUAUUAGGGAAGAACAAAUGUGUAAGUAACUAUGCACGUCUUGACGGUACCUAAUCAGAAAGCCACGGCUAACUACGUG